UACAGAGGGGGCAAGCGUUAUUCGGAAUUAUUGGGCGUAAAGGGCGCGUAGGCGGCUUUGCAAGUGACGGGUGAAAUCCCUCGGCUUAACCGAGGAACUGCCUGUCAGACUGCAUGGCUUGAGACCGGGAGAGGUGAGUGGAAUUCCCAGUGUAGCGGUGAAAUGCGUAGAUAUUGGGAGGAACACCAGUGGCGAAGGCGGCUCACUGGACUGGUACUGACGCUGAGGCGCGAAAGCGUGGGGAGCAAACAGG
rnacentral:rRNA from 1 species